UCAAAACUUGUAUUACUUCCUCAUUGGCCGACUGGAUUCAAUUUUUUUGGUCUGUUUGUUUAAGUGCCUCACACUAUAAGAGAACACUUUAUGUGUUUAUAGCGCCAAUGAUCAGUCACUCACAGGGUUACGGCGAAAAUCACAUCUCGGCUGUGCCUUUGCAAGUUACACAAGUAAUCAUCUGCGUUACGUUUCACAUGGACCAAUUAAAAUCGAGAUAUCGCUGGACAUUUGCGCGGUGACGUCACUACGCCAGCCACGUUGUAAGGCUAAUCCCCGCGAAAUUCAAAGUCAAUAUGACGGCGGUGUUCAACGAUAUCACCGAUCUGAGACGAGUUUACACCGCUGCGAUCGACGUCUUCACGAGGAAACAGCGGCGGGUGGAUUUUACGUACAAAUAAUCGACUGAUCGAUUCUGUACAACCCGUCAUCCAACUGUUCGUCUAACUAACGUACGGCUCCCAGCCUCGGACACUCCUGCACAAGUCGACAAAAUAGUCUUUCCCAGGUGGGAGAUGACCGUGCAGCUUGAGAAUUCAUCGUGCCAGCCUUGAAAUUAAAUACCUGCAAUUAAAUACUGUGACUUUGUCAGUGGACCUUGUUUUUUAUGAUAUGAUUUCAUAAUUAUUCUAUUGAAUAUAUUUCCAUUAUUUGAAAUCGUUUCAUGGCAAUCUGCCUUUGUAAAAAGUCUGCUGUCGUAUUUUACUACUGCUUUAGUAAUGAUACAUCACUCACUCGGAGUAAAAACCCUUGGCUCCAUGGGUGACUGCAACCUAAACUUAACCCCUUUAGGCCGCUCAGCCGACUGGCUUCUCUUCACUUGCGUCCGGAUACAGGACCAUCGUUAUUGCAUAGAAAGAAAAUGACCAAAUAAAGCAGUAUCCCAGAUCUGUUUGCUAUCUGAACGUAUUUGGUUGGUUUACUGUGACUGAUUAACCUAAAUGAUAUUAGAUUGUAAAUAAACAGAUCCAUCAAAGUGUAUGCUAAUUCUAGCAGGCUAUACACUUUUCCAGCAUAUUGUUUGUCUGGCUUCUAAAUGUGUGCAUGCGUACAAAAAUGAUACGUUACUGCCUUUCUGUUUAGAAAGGUUUACUUUGUUAAGUGACUUGUAUUGCUUUCUGAGGCAAAACUGGCUUAUUGUAACAUAAUAUACAGUCAAUAAAAGACUGGCUCAGUGCUCCUUCCCCCACAGCCAGGGGCCUCCAGAAUCACGCAAACUCCCUGCAGGCCGGUGACACAAAGUGACUAGCAAAAUAACGCAGGAAACCUUGGUGGGUUUUUUCUGCAAGCUCAAAAUUAUCUUUAUCCAAUGAAACAACAUUAACAGAUCAAGGCUGAAUAAUAAACAUUUGACAUUGUUAUUACUUCUGAUUCCAAUUCUCCAAUAUAAAACAUGUGUUUUAUUACUCACGUAAUAACCUUACAAUAAUCAAUAAAAUGACUGUUCUCCAUCCUCUUGUCAUAUUCGAUGUAAAAGCGAAUUGUAAAAUCAGG